rnacentral:tRNA from 1 species
GCGGGAGUAGCUCAAUGGUAGAGCUCCAGCCUUCCAAGCUGAUGGCGCGGGUUCGAUUCCCGUCUCCCGCU